AAAAAGCAAUACAAAAGUUUAAUCAAAAAAAGAAAAGGUCAGAGAGUGAGAACUCUCACAACCUCCACUGAGUCAGAUUACAUUGCAGCCACAGAAGUACAGAUAUUUCAUCCGGGCGCUCUCUUAAUCUGAACAAAUGCAAGCUGGUGGGGCUUCAACACAAAUCCCUCUUUUAAGAGAUAAAGACAGAAAGAUGCCGAUUGCUUUUCCUAUCCAUUUUUACUCAAAGAAGCACCUCACAUCAGCAGGAGUCAUUGUGACUGGGUGUUGCCGCUGACAUGUUGGGACUGGCUUUGUUUUAUUUUGGAUUUAGACUCCACAAAGGAGCAAUCAAGACUUUUUGAUAUUUUACAGGUGCUUUAAGUUCUUGUCUCAAGCAGUUUGAUGUCUGACAUCCUUGGGCCGGAUGUUUCAAAUUUUUCACGAAUCUCUAUCAAAAUAGCACUGCCUUGUUGUCUUGUUUCUAACUCAGAAGCCUGAAGUAGAUGUAGCAGGCAAAACCGAGCAAAAGAGAGGAACCAUUUUCAUCAGUUUCCAGCACUUGACUCCAGAUAACAAUGUUUGCCAGCCGUGGUGGUACUGGGGGAGGUAAGGGAGGGAAAUACUCAGUUGAAGACCUCUAUGGCAUCAGUAAGAAGCCCAAGGCGUCGACCUCCUCAGGGAGUAUUGUGGCCAAAGCUGGAGCCCGGAGCAGCAGGACCCCGGACCAGAGGACUGAGUCAGAGGCCCUGGCUUCUCAGAUCCUGGAGGCGGCGCACAGGCUGGUGGAGCGACGCCGACUGGAGCUCUACCUGAGGGAAUGUGGCCUCUCCCUGGCUGAGUGCGAGGCUGAGCGCUCUGCAAUGACAUACAGGCUCUCCAAUUUGCUGGUUUUGUUGGAAACAGCAAUUUUCCACAUCUGCUGAUCUCCUGCGUGCAAAGCAAAUUUGGGAAAGAGAGACAGAUACUUACAUUUUGACAAACAGAUUAUGAGGGCUCAGUGCCUAAUCUUGCCUUUGAAUAAAACAAAGCUUAAAGGUUAAACAUAUUUGAAUAUAUUACAGUUUGUCAGAUGUAUUCUGAAUUUGUGACAGAUUUAAAUAAAAGAAGUUCCACUAAAAGCAUUUAAUUGCUGUCCUCUGACCGUCCUUUCUUUUGACAAACUUAAUGUGAAGCGGAAUCGUUUUUAAGAUUAACUUAAACCACAAGAAAAACAAGAUGUCUGAAGGAAUACUUCAAAGUUACAGUUUGAGUGAAGAUAAAUGCCUUCAUCUUUUCUAAACUACUUGCACAUUUC
rnacentral:lncRNA from 1 species